UACGGGAGGCAGCAGUGGGGAAUAUUGCACAAUGGGCGAAAGCCUGAUGCAGCUAUGCCGCGUGUAUGAAGAAGGCCUUAGGGUUGUAAAGUACUUUCAUCGGGGAGGAAAAAACAAAACUAAUAAUUUUAUUUCUUGACGUUACCCGAAAAAGAAGCACCGGCUAACUCCGUGCCAGCAGCCGCGGUAAUACGGAGGGUGCUAGCGUUAAUCAGAAUUACUGGGCGUAAAGAGCACGUAGGUGGUUUUUUUAAGUCAGAUGUGAAAUCCCUGGGCUUAACCUAGGAACUGCAUUUUGAAACUGAAAUACUAGAGUAUCGUAGAGGGAGGUAGAAUUCUAGGUGUAGCGGUGAAAUGCGUAGAUAUCUGGAGGAAUACCUGUGGCGAAAGCGGCCUCCUAAACGAAUACUGACACUGAGGUGCGAAAGCGUGGGGAGUAAACAGGGAUUAGAUACC
rnacentral:rRNA from 1 species